AGCAGAGAAAAACCUGAUUCCUGAGGGAUUGUGGGAGCCCCACCCAGCUCACCGGAAUCCAGCGACAAUUCUGCGAUUCGUUUGUCACUUGAGCUGUUGUUUGUUUGUUUGUUGUUUUUUUCACAGUUUGGAAUAUAUUUCUACCAACAAUUUCUAAAUUGACUGGUAAACUCAGCACACGG
rnacentral:lncRNA from 1 species